UUUAUGGAGAGUUUGAUCCUGGCUCAGAGUGAACGCUGGCGGCGUGCCUAAUACAUGCAAGUCGAACGAUGAAGCUUUUAGCUUGCUAGAAGUGGAUUAGUGGCGCACGGGUGAGUAAGGUAUAGUUAAUCUGCCCUACACAAGAGGACAACAGUUGGAAACGACUGCUAAUACUCUAUACUCCUGCUUAACACAAGUUGAGUAGGGAAAGUUUUUCGGUGUAGGAUGAGACUAUAUAGUAUCAGCUAGUUGGUAAGGUAAUGGCUUACCAAGGCUAUGACGCUUAACUGGUCUGAGAGGAUGAUCAGUCACACUGGAACUGAGACACGGUCCAGACUCCUACGGGAGGCAGCAGUAGGGAAUAUUGCGCAAUGGGGGAAACCCUGACGCAG
rnacentral:rRNA from 1 species